rnacentral:rRNA from 1 species
AACACAUGCAAGUCGAACGGCUCUUCGGAGCAGUGGCGGACGGGUGAGUAACGCGUGGGAACGUGCCCUUUGGUUCGGAACAACACAGGGAAACUUGUGCUAAUACCGGAUGAGCCCUUCGGGGGAAAGAUUUAUCGCCAUUGGAGCGGCCCGCGUUGGAUUAGGUAGUUGGUGGGGUAAAGGCCCACCAAGCCGACGAUCCAUAGCUGGUCUGAGAGGAUGAUCAGCCACACUGGGACUGAGACACGGCCCAGACUCCUACGGGAGGCAGCAGUGGGGAAUCUUGCGCAAUGGGCGAAAGCCUGACGCAGCCAUGCCGCGUGAAUGAUGAAGGUCUUAGGAUUGUAAAAUUCUUUCACCGGGGAAGAUAAUGACGGUACCCGGAGAAGAAGCCCCGGCUAACUUCGUGCCAGCAGCCGCGGUAAUACGAAGGGGGCUAGCGUUGCUCGGAAUUACUGGGCGUAAAGGGCGCGUAGGCGGACAGUUUAGUCAGAGGUAAAAGCCCAGGGCUCAACCUUGGAACUGCCUUUGAUACUGGCUGUCUUGAGUUCGGGAGAGGUGAGUGGAAUGCCGAGUGUAGAGGUGAAAUUCGUAGAUAUUCGGCGGAACACCAGUGGCGAAGGCGACUCACUGG